rnacentral:lncRNA from 1 species
AUGCCUGAGGAAGACACAGCACCAGAACCCCAGCCAUGGCUAUAUACUGGAAGAAGGAGUUCAGCUCAGUGUUUGCCAAAAGGUAAACAUUUAAGCACAGUCUUCAUGAGGAGUGGGAAAGAGCAUCACAUCAGAGUUUGGAAUGCUGGAUUCUUCUGUGGCCCUAAGAUGGCAGAUCGAUUUGCCCAUUUUCCAGCUGAGACCCCACUUCAGGAUAAGUUAGGAAGAUACAGAUGCUCUGACUCCAGCACUGCUCACAGAUGUGACGCCUCAUCCUCCAGCAGCAGAAGUUUCCUCUUCCAGGACACUCCCACUUAGCACUGCCAGCAUCCUUCACGGUCCUUCAUGGUACUUUGUUUUGUAGGCAUUUGUGUAAUGUAUCUCCAUACUACUGCUUCUGAUGGCAGGAAUUGUGUCACACUCCUUCCCUAGGGCAUCCUGUCUGGUCCUUUAUACCUGAGUCAAAUGGUGAAUAUUUGUAUGGUUAAAUGAAACUGAAUCAAGGACCAGGGAGGCAGCCUUCAUGAAGGAGACAGGCUCAUUCUUGCCAACUCUAACACGUCCAAGUUCUUGAAAAACGAGCUGUCAGUUUCCUUGACACGCUAAGCCUUUUGGGAAGGAAGAAAUGAACUGAAACAAGCAGAUACGUGCCUUGAGCCCCAGAAAAGGAAGCUCCUGCUUCCAGACAUGACAAGCCCAUCAAAUAUGUUAUGUUAACUCCAGCAGCACACAUCUAACACAGUUUGCUACUGCACAGGCGUGUGCAAACAGGCUUGGAGGCAAAGAGACAUCCUCACCCAAAGGUGCCAGCAUUCAUUUUUAAAAAAAGCAUUUAACUUGAAUUUGACAUGGUUCCUGCAGAAGAAAAUAAUUUGCUUAGUAAUUUUCUCUUAUCACAUGCCAUGUUUUCCUUGAAUGUGUCUGUUAAUUAGCCUGGUUUAUACUGUGCCAGCUGGAUAGGUAAUUAGAUAAAGUUAGAUAAAGAGCGCACGGGGCAUGGUAAUACAUGCCUAGUAUCCCAGCAUCCUAGAGGCAGAACACAUGGGGCAUGGUAAUACAUGCCUAGUAUUCCAGCAUUCCAGAUGCACAAUCAGCAGGAAUAGAAGUUCAAGGAGAUUCUUGGCUACAUUGCAAGUUCAAGACCAGUCUGGGAGGCAUGAAACCCUGACUCCCCAUUCCCCCAAAAGGAACAAGAGUCAUGUCUUGCUCAGUCAUCAUCAGAGAGGCUUACUCUUGCAGCAAGUGGGCACAAGUACAGCUAGAUGACAUGCAGAGAGUGAGAGACCUUGGAACACUCAGACUGUGCAGAAUGUCUCCAUCAAAUCUCUCCCUGCCAGUGCUCAGGGAAUUAGGGGAAAGAGGAGGAAGAAAAAAUGUAAGAGCCAGAAGGGAUGGAGAACACCGAAGAGUCACCUUCUAGACACAACAGGGCUGGCACACAUAUGAUGACCAACCCAAAACGAACUAACUCUAUAGCAUCUUUGGAGGUUCUUUGCCUCAUAAGGUUAAGUUAGUUGUUUGUUUGUUUGUUUUUCUAAUUGUACAGGUAUUUUGCAUAUAUAUUAUGGCUUCUAGUUUUGGGGUCUUUAUGAGAUUCCUGUGUAUGCAAAGUGUGUGUCUCUGUGUCUAUAUGUGUUUCACGUGCUUUUAUUCGUCUCUUUUUCUUGUUUGAUUGUUUUGUCAUAUUCUGGUUGGUUUGUUUUUAUUUAUCUUACUGUAUUUUAUUGUUACUCCUCAGAAGUCUUUUUGUUUUCUAAAUGAGCUAGAAAGGGAUUGAUCCAGAUGGGGCAGGAGGGGGGAAGGAUCUGGGAGGAGUAGGAGAAGGGAAACCAUAAUCAGAAUAUAUUGUAUGAAAAAAAACUAUUUUCAACAAAAGAAAGAGAAAGGAAGGAAGGAAGCAAGCAAGGAAGGAAGGAAAGAAGGGAGGGAGGAAGGGAGGGAGGGGGAGGGAGGAAGUGGAAGAAAGGGAAAGGAAAAGAAAGGUCUGGGCUCCAAUUCAUCAUUGCUGGAUCCAGAAAAUGAAACAACUGGAACAGAAUAUGUCCCUUAAAAGCUCAGCAGACUUUCCCCCAGAGCUCAGGCAACCCAGAGUUAUUUAUCUUGUUUGAUGGUGACUCUAAAGUACACAAACCUGGUGAUGCAGUCACCAUGGAAACACUGGAGGAAUAAAGGAAGAUCUUAGCUCAUACUUUAGCCUCUACUUUAGGGUCAAAUAGCACAGUCAGUAUGGUGUGACUUGGUAGAAACUGGCUUUGAGUUGGUCAAAGUGGCUGUGUGCAUGCAUGGGUGAUGCAUUUGAAGGGACCAGAGGCUGGGCGUAUGGAGGCCAAGAGAGGCCUUGCUACAGGUUUCUGACAGAAACAAAUCAGAAGUAUUAGGGAAGAGCCAUUGAAAAAGUAUCCACAAGACCAAGGUCUCAGCCCAAAGGAGAUUUAUUUGUCCCAGAGGGACAUAGGGCAAAGAUAAGGGACAAAGACAGGAGAUAGAGGGUGAGGGAGAAGGGAAAGGAACAAGGAAAAGCUGGCAGGGGCAUUUGUCCUGGAGUGGGACAAAGGACUGCCUCUAGAUAGAGAAGAGACAGAGGUAAUCCAUAGGUAUAAAGGUAAAAGAGAAACCCUGUGUUAGGAUGAGGUGUUUCAUUUUAGUUAGGCAUGUUAAUUAGGUGAGCCAAAGGGGAAUUUUUGACUGCUGGAUUUCAGUACUUUGUUAUCUGGACCUUGUAGUCAGUCUCAGGAGGAAGAAGUGGCCAAAUGAGGGAGGGAAGAGACCUUGGUGGCUAGUUUUAGGAAUGUAAUUGGUUUGGCCUGUGGGCAUGUGUGGGGAGCAUUUUCUUGAUUGAUGGUUGAUGUGGGAGGGCCCAGCCCACUGUGGGUGGUGCCAUCCUUGUACAGAUGGUAUGUUGUUGUGUAAGGAAGCAAACCGACCAAGUACCUUGAGGAGCAAGUCAGUAAACUGUGGUCCUCAUGGCCUCUGCUUUAGUUCCUGUCUCCAAGUUCCUGCUCCAAGUUCCCCUCAUGAUGCAAUAUAAACCAUAGGAUGAGACAAACCCUUUCUCAGACAAGUUACCCAUCUUGGAUGUGCCUCAACUAGGAAAUGGAAAUAGCAAUUUGGCUUACUUAUGUCUGUUGUGCCUGUUGUGCCCAGACUCUGAACCCCCCAAAACCACCAUGAGACCAGAUCUGAUGCAAAAGCAAAGAGUCUUUAUAAUUACCGAGUUAACUGAAAUUAACUUGGGUCCUCCAUCUAUCUGACACAGUGGGUAGAACAGGAGGGACCCCAAGCAGCAGAAGGGCA